rnacentral:lncRNA from 1 species
ACCAGUGGUGAGGAUUGAGAUCUCCAUCUGAUACCCAAGCCUGGCUUUCUGGGAUUAUGAACUCUUUAGACCCAAACCCCACUAUUUAAUGGACCAGAUAUGUGUUUUAAGCUGAACUAAUCCAGACACUCAUCAUGUAAUAGUGGCUGCUGGAAUCACCCCAG